UAGGGAAUCUUCGGCAAUGGACGAAAGUCUGACCGAGCAACGCCGCGUGAGUGAAGAAGGGUUUCGGCUCGUAAAGCUCUGUUGUUAAAGAAGAACACGUAUGAGAGUAACUGUUCAUACGUUGACGGUAUUUAACCAGAAAGUCACGGCUAACUACGCGCCAG
rnacentral:rRNA from 1 species